rnacentral:lncRNA from 1 species
GGGGAGAGCUCCGUCGAACUCUGCGGUCCAGACUUCUCUGCCUACGAGCUCGGGGGGGAGUUCGGACAUGCUUGUGUCCGGAGGAAGUUCGAGAACGUGGCUGAGCUUCACUUGGCUCUUUUUCAGCUGCGGGCUUGCUGGAGUUGCCCGCCUGUCGUUCCUUCGCGGCCUCCUCCUUCAGCUUGAAGGCUCCCUCUGCCCGGGCAUAUCCUUCGGCCUGAGCCAGCAAAUCAGUGAAGUCCUUGGGAUACUUCUUGUUGCGGCCAAUCCUCUCGUCGCUCGAUCGUCGGGGUCGCACACCUGCAAGAAAAGUCCUCACUGAUCGGAGAUGCCUCCGGCAGGGAUCCUCCGACGGUCAAGUCAGAGAGGAGACUAGGUAACAGUGAAAAAUCAGGGGCUCAGCGGGGGAGAGCUAGGGAGAGCUUGAGAAAGCUUAAAAGUGCUUGAGAGUCUAAAGGCGUUUACCAAAAUUGUUGUCUUAAUUUAUUUUAUAGUAGAAGGCGGUAUGGUUUCGCCAUUAAUGAUGCAGACAACUGGGGAGUUGUCAAAUCAUCGGGAGCUGUCAAAUCGUCAUGGGUUGUCAAGUCAUUGGAAUUAAUCAAUGUCCUUGGCAGGACAAUGCCCCAAGACGGCCGUACCUUGUCUCUGGCGGG